rnacentral:rRNA from 1 species
CCUACGGGAGGCAGCAGUGAGGGAUAUUGGUCAAUGGGGGAAACCCUGAACCAGCAACGCCGCGUGCGGGAAGACGGUUUUCGGAUUGUAAACCUCUGUCCUCUGUGAAGAUAAUGACGGUAGCAGAGGAGGAAGCUACGGCUAACUACGGGCCAGCAGCCGUGGUAAUACGUAGGGAGCAAGCGUUGUCCGGAUUUACUGGGUGUAAAGGGUGCGUAGGCGGCUUUGCAAGGCAGAAGUGAAAUCCAUGGGCUUAACCGAUGAACUGCUUUUGAAACUGCAGAGCUUGAGUGGGGUAGAGGUAGGCGGAAUUCGCGGUGGAGCGGUGAAAUGCGUAGAGAUCGGGAGGAACACCAGUGGCGAAGGCAGCCUACUGGGGUCUAACUGACGCUGAGGCACGAAAGCGUGGGUAGCAAACAGGAUUAGAUACCCUAGUAGUC